rnacentral:lncRNA from 1 species
UUGCAUAUCUUUUUUUAUGUAAGAGCCUGUCCUCUAUCCUCUCUUUUCAGUUUGUAUUUCUAUAUACCCAAACUUAUAAAAGACAAGAGGAAUAUUAAGAGGAAUCUUCCAACUAUAUAAAAGUUGUUUCUUUCUUUUUUUUGUUUCAAUAAAAGUUCUUUCAUUAUUUGUGUUUGUUCUGUUAAUUAAAAAUUUCAAUUUCAUUAUGAAAAAGAAACUAAACAAAUGGAAAUCAUAAUUGAUACAUCCCUUUUAUUUUUUCAAUUCCAAAAAAAAUCUCUUUUUCUUAUACAUAGGUCGUUGGUUCGGCAUUGGAAAAGGGGUUGGGUGCAUCCAUCUAGUAAAUAGUUCAAACUAUUUUAUCGAUAUUAGUAUUCUAUAGCAGAUAAAUUUCACACUAACUAUUUCCCAUUUAAAGCAUUUGUGUUGUUGUGGUGGUUGUUUUGCUAUCACUGCCUUCAUGCGGGUUUUUUUCUUUGUUGGGCGUUGUGGUAAAUCUCUUGCUGGUUUCUUUUUAAAAAUAUAAGUGUUUGUUUCAUUCAUUCAUGUCAUGAUGAAAAAUAGACCACAUGAAGUCUCAGGGCCUAUAGUUUUAAUUCCUUUCCAAUUUGCCUUACAUGUGUACCUCUAGCUAGCUGAUUAAACUAACAGACCACAGUGAUUAGAAUAAAGAUGGUACUUCCCCGAAUCCAGAACCAAAAGCCUUCCUGAAAUCUUCUAUUGGUGCCCCCCUUGCAUGUCUUCCCCCAAGAUAUUCCAUCUAAUCCAGGGACAACCCUGUCUGGGAUUACUAUGUCACCUCCACAUGACCAAAUCGAUGCAGGAACACGCAUAUGCAUGUAUGCCACCAAUGCAAGUUGACUCUCUGCUGUGCUCAUCACAUGAUCAUCAUAUGGCUCCAAACCCCAAGGCUCCAUCGGGCAAGGCCUACUACAUGCCUAUUCCAUCCCCCUUGCAUGCACACGCAUUGGGAACAACUCC